UGGGGAAUUUUGGACAAUGGGCGCAAGCCUGAUCCAGCAUGCCGCGUGAGUGAAGAAGGCCUUCGGGUUGUAAAGCUCUUUUGUCAGGGAAGAAACGGUAUCUCCUAAUACGGGGUGCUAAUGACGGUACCUGAAGAAUAAGCACCGGCUAACUACGUGCCAGCAGCCGCGGUAAUACGUAGGGUGCAAGCGUUAAUCGGAAUUACUGGGCGUAAAGCGUGCGCAGGCGGUUAUAUAAGUCAGAUGUGAAAUCCCCGGGCUCAACCUGGGAACUGCAUUUGAGACUGUAUGGCUAGAGUGUGUCAGAGGGGGGUAGAGUUCCACGUGUAGCAGUGAAAUGCGUAGAUAUGUGGAGGAAUACCGAUGGCGAAGGCAGCCCCCUGGGAUAACACUGACGCUCAUGCACGAAAGCGUGGGGAGCAAACA
rnacentral:rRNA from 1 species